UACGAAGGGGGCUAGCGUUGUUCGGAAUUACUGGGCGUAAAGCGCGUGUAGGCGGUUCUUUAAGUCAGGGGGGAAAUGCCAAGGCUCAACCUUGGAACUGCCUUUGAUACUGGAGACCUUGAGUCCGGGAGAGGUGAGUGGAAUUGCGAGUGUAGAGGUGAAAUUCGUAGAUAUUCGCAAGAACACCAGUGGCGAAGGCGGCUCACUGGCCCGGAACUGACGCUGAGACGCGAAAGCGUGGGGAGCAAACAGG
rnacentral:rRNA from 1 species